AUGGACGAUAUGCAGAGGCUACCAAGUGGUAGCUCCAAUCUUGCAAUUGAGGUCAGCAAUGGGUGCUUCUCCUGGGACGGCUCACCUGAGAUACCAACACUGAAGGAUCUGAAUUUUCAAGAUCAGCAAGGCAUGCAUGUUGCAGUCUGUGGGAUGCGCUCUGGAAAAUCAAGUUUGCUCUUUUGUAGUCUGUGGGAUGACCGGCUCUCAGUGAGCCAGUAUGGAUGCGGAGCGGCAAAAAUUCAGGACAACAUACUGUUUGACAAGGAGAUGGAGAGUGAGAAGUAUGGCAUGGUCCUUGUGUGGUGUUCGCUGAAGAAAGACUUGGAGAUCAAACACUUCCCCGACUUCCGUCCCCGAGAGAUCCGGAGAGGAAGUGCUGGCCUCCAGCCUCCGGCGGGGAAGCUGCCGCCUUCCAAGGCAAAAAAAUAUAAUUCCUCGCCGACCUCCCCAAUCAAGUCUGCCUUCGCGCUCAACCCCUCCUCUGCGUCGUGCAUCCUCGCCUUCCUCUCCCUAAACACAGACCAAGCCCUCCCCUAA
rnacentral:rRNA from 1 species